rnacentral:rRNA from 1 species
GCUUAACGCGAAGAACCUUACCUGGCCUUGACAUGCAGAGAACUUUCCAGAGAUGGAUUGGUGCCUUCGGGAACUCUGACACAGGUGCUGCAUGGCUGUCGUCGGCUCGUGUCGUGAGAUGUUGGGUUAAGUCCCGUAACGAGCGCAACCCUUGUCCUUAGUUACCAGCACGUCAUGGUGGGCACUCUAAGGAGACUGCCGGUGACAAACCGGAGGAAGGUGGGGAUGACGUCAAGUCAUCAUGGCCCUUACGGCCUGGGCUACACACGUGCUACAAUGGUCGGUACAGAGGAUUGCCAAGCCGCGAGGUGGAGCUAAUCUCACAAAACCGAUCGUAGUCCGGAUCGCAGUCUGCAACUCGACUGCGUGAAGUCGGAAUCGCUAGUAAUCGCGAAUCAGAAUGUCGCGGUGAAUACGUUCCCGG